rnacentral:rRNA from 1 species
CCAAUAGCGUAUAUUAAAGUUGUUGCAGUUAAAAAGCUCGUAGUUGAAUUUCGGGAUCAUCAGGUUGGUCGUGCCUUUGGUAUGUACUUUCCUCGAUGAUUCCUCCUUCUUGAAGAUCCGUAAUGUCAUUAAUUUGGUGUUGCGGGGAAUCAGGACUGUUACUUUGAAAAAAUUAGAGUGUUUAAAGCAGGCAAUCGCUUGAAUACAUUAGCACGGAAUAAUGAAAUAGGACGUUCGAUCCUAUUUUGUUGGUUUCUAGGAUUGACGUAAUGAUUAAUAGGGAUAGUUGGGGGCAUUAGUAUUCAAUUGUCAGAGGUGAAAUUCUUGGAUUUAUUGAAGACUAACUACUGCGAAAGCAUUUGCCAAGGAUGUUUUCAUUAAUCAAGAACGAAAGUUAGGGGAUCGAAGACGAUCAGAUACCGUCGUAGUCUUAACCAUAAACUAUGCCGACUAGGGAUCGGAUGAUGUUAAUUUUUUAAUGACUCAUUCGGCGCCUUACG